CAAAAUCUAAAUAGACCCAUCCACCUUAGCAAACUAUAUCAACAACAAAAAAAAAUCAAUCAAUAGCAAAAUCUGACUAAGACCCAUUGAAGUCUUGGAGCCACACAACAAACUAAAUCCAUGAUGGUAGUGUUGAUUUUCGACUUAUGCAUUUUGAAAUUUGCAUGAAACCAAAAGGAGGCAUCACAAUGAAGCAUAGUCGAAGAAUCUCAAAG
rnacentral:misc_RNA from 1 species